rnacentral:rRNA from 1 species
GGGUUGUGAGGUUAAGCGACUAAGCGUACACGGUGGAUGCCCUGGCAGUCAGAGGCGAUGAAGGACGUGCUAAUCUGCGAUAAGCGUCGGUAAGGUGAUAUGAACCGUUAUAACCGGCGAUUUCCGAAUGGGGAAACCCAGUGUGUUUCGACACACUAUCAUUAACUGAAUCCAUAGGUUAAUGAGGCGAACCGGGGGAACUGAAACAUCUAAGUACCCCGAGGAAAAGAAAUCAACCGAGAUUCCCCCAGUAGCGGCGAGCGAACGGGGAGCAGCCCAGAGCCUGAAUCAGUGUGUGUGUUAGUGGAAGCGUCUGGAAAGGCGCGCGAUACAGGGUGACAGCCCCGUACACAAAAAUGCACAUGCUGUGAGCUCGAUGAGUAGGGCGGGACACGUGGUAUCCUGUCUGAAUAUGGGGGGACCAUCCUCCAAGGCUAAAUACUCCUGACUGACCGAUAGUGAACCAGUACCGUGAGGGAAAGGCGAAAAGAACCCCGGCGAGGGGAGUGAAAAAGAACCUGAAACCGUGUACGUACAAGCAGUGGGAGCACAGAGCAAUCUG